rnacentral:rRNA from 1 species
AUUGAACGCUGGCGGCAGGCCUAACACAUGCAAGUCGAGCGGUAGAGAGGUGCUUGCACCUCUUGAGAGCGGCGGACGGGUGAGUAAUGCCUAGGAAUCUGCCUGGUAGUGGGGGAUAACGCUCGGAAACGGACGCUAAUACCGCAUACGUCCUACGGGAGAAAGCAGGGGACCUUCGGGCCUUGCGCUAUCAGAUGAGCCUAGGUCGGAUUAGCUAGUUGGUGAGGUAAUGGCUCACCAAGGCGACGAUCCGUAACUGGUCUGAGAGGAUGAUCGGACACACUGGAACUGAGACACGGUCCAGACUCCUACGGGAGGCAGCAGUGGGGAAUAUGGGACAAUGGGCGAAAGCCUGAUCCAGCCAUGCCGCGUGUGUGAAGAAGGUCUUCGGAUUGUAAAGCACUGUAAGUUGGGAGGAAGGGUCGUGACCUAAUACGUGACGAUUUUGACGUUACCGACAGAAUAAGCACCGGCUAACUCUGUGCCAGCCGCCGCCGUAAUAC